UCCGGUGGCCCAGUGGUAACUCUCCCACCUCCCGUGUGGGUGACCCGGGUUCAAAUCCAGCCAUUGGCA